CUCUUGUCCAUCCCAGAUUCAAGCAUGGAGCCAGGAGGUUUAGCUGCCCAGGCUACAGUGCAGGUAGGAGGCUUCUUCCAUCAUCAGUCUCUGAAGACUGCUGCAUUGCUAAACAGCAACAUGCACACACGGAGGAUAAAUACAGGGUAGAAAAUAAAUCAAGUAUAAUUUGAAUGUUUAUGGACACAGCUGAGCAAGCCCUCCGCUUUUCAAAGGCUUUCAAAUGUUUAGGAAACAAAGUCAUAAUGAUCUUACAAGUGGGCAAAUGUACUGUUAAGAACCACUAAAGUUGUGCAAGAUAAAUCUUAUUAUGUGGUUGAAAGUACAACUGGAACUUGACUCUGACUUGCAGCAAGCAGCCAUUACAUGUUUGGGAAGUGUCACGGAGCUUUAGCCCAUCACUGGCAGGACAGUACAGUGGGACAUUGGAUCUCCUAGAGUAGCUGCCCUUAGUCACACUCUGCAAGGAGGUUUCAGACAGCUCCUGUGAAAAGGAACAAACCUGUUCUUCCCUCAGAGCAUGACAGUGCUCCUCUCAUGGUGUUCCUCAGCCUGGAACCAGCUGAGCACAGAGCUCCUCUGGUGCUGCAGCCCCAGCUCCCCACAGGGCUGUCCCCUGGUAACCCUUUGCAUUUAUCUGAGUGAGUUCCACCUGCCCUUUAUUGCCCAGCCCGUCACUAGGCAGGACUCACCCGUAAAGCCCUUCCAUAGUUCCUUAUAGCCUGUCCCCAUCCUCAGUGCCAUAAAUAACUGUGCACCAUCAGCAGACUCCCCUGACAAAGUGCUCAGCCCUUUUUCCAGGUCAUUUAUAACAACACUGAGCUGCACAAGCACCAGCACAGACGCCAGGACGCCGCUGGUGACCUCCAGACUCCUCUUUCAAGAGGACAAUCUGGACUUUCCUGGGAAAUUGCCUCUUUAUUGCAAAAGGCCAGGAAAGGAAGAGCUUUUGCCCAGAAAUCAUUCUCCACUUACUACUGCUCCUUCCCCUGCUUCCUCCAAGCAGAUUUGGUUCUCAAAUCCAGCUGAUUUCCUACAAACAGGUGACCCUUGAUUCUUUAAUUAUUCUGACAUGGUACUUUAUGGACAAUUUCUAAUGAGAUUGGGGACCAGUGUAAAAAGUAUCAGAGCCUACAGCUUCAACAUCUUCCUCACCCUUCAAGUGGAAUAAACUUCUGGCUCAGAUUAUUUUGACAUCACAAACUUUCAUUCCACAUGCCCAGGGACCAGCCAUGCUGGAUUGCAGACACAUGGUAGGAAAAACUACUCCAAAUGUAUUUUUGACUCAGGUUAGGAGGGAGGACUUAAAGUUCUCCCAAGCAACAUGAGGGAGAAGAAAAUCCCACUGCAGACUUCCCCUUCCUGCACGGUGCCUAAUACAAAGGGAGGUUGCUAAAGCAACAGCUUCUCGGAGCUGCCUAGGCCUAGUCAUGCACAUGGGCUUCAUGGUGAAUCAGGAUCAGCUUUCAGGAAGAGAUGGAAAAGGCUCCUUCUUCUCCUUACGUAGCUUUGACUACUCAGCUUGCACCUCUGGGAGCAGAAGCUCUGAAUUCAUUCAGUGCUGGUCUCUGACAUAUCCUACAGCUAUCUGGACCCCUGGGGAGAGCUCCACAGCUCCACUGGAACCACUCAGGCUGAUUGCCCUCCUAACAGCUAUAGAGGAAUUCGAUAUUUAGCAUCAACCCCCUCAGCCCCCACCGAAAUAACUUCAGGCUCUCUGCAGGGUGCCUGGUCAGGAGCACUCAGCUGUACCUGCAGGUCCUGAUGGGGUGGCAAAAUAUAGCCCUUGUCCUGCACUCCAGUAAAGAGGAGAGGAAAAUGCUCUCCCAAAGCCUGGCUGGGCAAUCUCAGUGGGCUUGGAGCUGUUGGAAUGGCUUUUGGCUUUGGGUCUGAGGGCAGGCAGGGGUGAUGGGAAGGGACAACUCACAGCAAGGGGAAGCCCAGUUGUGGGCAGUUGACCUUAGCAGCCAGGGGGAAGCACAAGGUACAGUGAGAUGCCCACAGGACUGUUCCCAGCUGGGCUUUGUGGUUGUUCCUAUCAGCAUAUCAGCCAGUUUACCUCAGAGCUCAAAGCUGCUGCCCUGCAGCAGAGGACAACAGCCUGCAAAAGGACACAGAUCUCCUGGUUGAGAUAUGCAGGUAAAGGGUUGGAUACCAGUGAGGAAAAUUAUUUUUAUUUCACUAUUUAAGUCAAGGUUUCUCUGUUCCCUUUGUUGAUGCUCAUGCAGAUUCAUUCCAGUUCAGAAGCUGUCACGUAGGGAGAAAGGAAAUAACACAGUCUGGCUCCCCUCUUUUGGCAUCUAAACAACAUCAUUCCUCAGGAGCACUCGAGAGGCCAAGCAGCAUGUAAAUGCUUUCCCUCAUGGUGACACAGACAGAACUUUCUGGUACUCCAGCAACCCCUUUCCUCCCUUAGACUGGCCACAGCUGCACGUACCUUUGGUGUAACAUCAUGGUUAUGCAAUGCUGACUCUCCCACUCUGCUCUUAUCGCGCCUCUCUCCUGCUUGUGCAAGCAGAAGCUCAGAUGGAGUCCAACAAUGGCCUACAAGAGCUCAGGCAUUUCUCAACCUUCCUUUUCUGAGCCUGCACUGCUCCCAGUGGCACAGAGGUGAGCUGGGACCACCAAACCCCCCUGAACUGCAGCCCAGGAGGGCAUGGUUCUCCAGUAUCUGACCAGAAUGAACCUGGGAAGGCAUGAACACACACAGGCUGUCCAGUGCACUCCUGAACCCAAGAGAUGCAGCCCCUGCAGGGAUGAGCACUCAUUCCCAAGUACAUCACUGCAUCUCUGGGCCCCCCUCGUUUCUAGGUCACCAUGACAUCCUGUUCACCAGGACUAAUGGAGCACAGAUGUACUCUCAAGGGAGUGAGUGUGAACCAGAGCCCUCAUCUCUGCAACGCUUCCCAGGAAGAGCCAUCUCCUCACCAUCACGUAUCCCAAAGUACCUAAGGACAAGGCAGAGCACGAAAUGAAGCAGAAGAGUGAGUUCCUAAAAUUUUUGCCACUUUAUCCCUUUAAGGUUCUCAAGCAGGAUUUACAGUCACCUUCACAGAAGAGUGUUGUGCUAACAGGUAGGCAGGAAACAACCACAGUGAGAUACAGAUCUGUGAUGCUUUAAUUAAAGCACAGGUAAGCUGUGAACAGCAGCAGAGCUCUGAGUGUUUCUUCUGUCACUCAUCUUAGUCACUGCUGCAUGCCUUGUAGGCUGCCAGCUGUCACAGGCUGCUCUCCAUGCCAGCCUGCAGGGCACGGGCACAAUGGGACCUGGAUGUUGUGCAGGGCUGUGUCCUAGUGCUUGUCCAUGACUGAGGGGUCCUGGUGCAUGGCAGCAGUGAAAAAGGUGCACCUGGACAUGUGACUGAAUGCACCAGAUCACAAAGAAGUGUUUUGUUCCAUACUGGAGACCAAAAUGUAUCCAGAAGAGAAAUGAGUCUCUAAAAGUAUGGCCCAGGCAGAUUCUCCAGUGUGGAGGGAAAGACCCAUCUUCCUGACCUACCACUUGUGGCUGGGAGUGCAGCCAGAAUGUAGGACACAGGUGACCAUGAGCAGCAUUAAACAGUGGGAGGUGUGGCAGCACAGUGCUGACCACACUGGACAGUGUGGGAUCCUCCCUGCGACCCUGACAACAAAGCAACAGCAGAAAUGGUGCAGUGCUGCUGGCCACGGCUGCCAUCAGCAACAAAAACACAGAAAGCCUUUUAAAUAUUCCAAAGACAGAAAUGAAAUCCUUCUCUUCUUAUGCAAUGCUUGCCCUUCCUCAGCAGAGAUCAAAUCAAUAUGGGACCAAGCAAAGUCAAUGGUUUAUUUCAAGGGGUUUUGAAUUGGGCUUUGUAGGCAAAAAGGCAUCAGCCUUGUUUCAAACUCCACGAAGACACAUUGGUAUUUCCAUUCCACAUCUAUUUGUAGCAUAGAAACAUGACUUUGUUCCAUUUUAGUCCUGCUUAAAUGUUACAUUACUUUAAAAUAAGGUCUGUCUGGAAAAAAACCAUUCAUGUUUGGGUCUGGAAUUACCCCUGGAGAAGCUUGGGGAUCCCCCUAGUUAGUGAAUGAGGACCACCUUGAAGGAAGUUAAGGAGAACCUUGUGGUUGGAAUUCCCCAUCCUUUCUUCUGGAGUCUGUCAGUAGCUGUGCUGUGCUGCUGGGUGGUGAUCCCAGCACACACAAACAUGUGCACACACAAAUGUGCACACACAAACACACACACACACACGUUCUAACACACCAAACCCCACACACAGCAUCAGCAGCUGACUGCACAGCCUGGAGAACAUGAACAGCAGCAGAAAGGGAACUUUCCCAUAAUUUCUGGGGAAAUGCUGCAGUUGUAGGCCAACUUACAUAACUGAUUUAGCUGAACAGAAUUGCUUUCUGCCUUUAAUCUGCUCAAGAGUUUAUCUUUGCAGCCGUGAUCGGUUGAGCUCUCUUUAAACCGUUAUGGAUUAGCGUUCUGCUGAAACACGUUAAAGCUUAGCUUUGUUUAUUUUUGUCAAGAAUGGGGGAGGGAUAUCAGGUUAAAUGUUCAGGCAGCAGUUUAUGAAUGGCUGUUUCUCUUGCACAGCAAUCGAUAUGCUCAGGUACAAGCAAGGCACAGCUAAAUGCUUUGAGUGGCAGCACUAGGUGCUGGAAUAGGAAUAUUUGUGAAUUUACUAUUAAAAAUAAAAUGAGAAAAAAAGAAGGAACUUUAAUAAAUUUGCAUUAUUAUUUUAAUCUAUAAAUACAAAAUGUAAUCCAGCAUUCAAACAGUUCAUCACACCCACCAUCUCUGUAUGGAAGACCAAAGAGUAAAUGAUCUGAAAACUUAAUUAAUAAGGUUGGUUGAGGAUUUUACUAAGUUUGCAUUAUUGAUGUAAUUUGGAGACAGAAAUCCUGCCAAAAGCAAUCUUUCUGUCAUUCAGCUGCAGGAAAACAAUACACCAUAAUGGAAAUU